GACGAACCGUGCGAACGUUAUUCGGAAUCACUGGGCUUAAAGGGCGCGUAGGCGGGCCGCCAGGUCCGGGGUGAAAGCCUCCAGCUCAACUGGAGAAGUGCCUUGGAUACCGGCGGCCUCGAGGGAGGCAGGGGCGUGCGGAACUUCGGGUGGAGCGGUGAAAUGCGUAGAUAUCCGAAGGAACACCGGUGGCGAAAGCGGAUCUCUGGGCCGAUACUGACGCUGAGGAGCGAAAGCGUGGGGAGCGAACAGG
rnacentral:rRNA from 1 species